UGGAAUUAUGUAAGAACAGAAAUGAAAUUCGGAUGUAAGGGAUAUCCGCCAAUCCAGGAAAGUGUGCCACUAAGGUUGAAAUUAAGAUUCACAUUAAAACAUUGGGACAUGUGCAUGUAUACAAAGGUCAUAUGGUUCUUUUCACACUAGAUCGAAUCCCCUAGCGAGAGUUCGAUAACAACCACAUCCUGACCAAGUUAAUUCAGGACUUGCAUUAGAGUUCUGGGUGUUUACAUAGGAGCUCCGUUUCCUUCUUACAUAGCUUUAGCAUACGGCUCUACUGUUGAUUUGUAGCUGCGUUCAGGGGUUUUCUAAUCGAUACCAACACGACAUGUCGCCCGAUACGCGCAUACAUGGUAUUUAUUUAAAGACAUCAACGCAAACGGUCAUGGGUUUAUCUGCCCUCCACAUUUAUAUUUGCUAUUGCCAAAACCAGCGGUGGUUUUAAUAGAUUCAUUAAUGACUCUAUCUGUAUCUAUCCAAAACAAAUGCCGUCAGGAAAUAAGAGCUGAACAGGCAACUGACUACUUGGUUGUGAGAGAAAAUGAUGCACCUAAGUGCGGCCGAACAAGUGAUGACCUAGCUAAGACCCCAAAUCCAAAAUACUGUUGUGAUGCUUCCCUAGGUAUUGCAAACGAGAUGAAAAAGUUUAUGCGCCAAACUAAAGGUGGCUUGAAAGGACUGAUCAGCAGUUUUGGCGUGGCUAAAAAUAGUUUUCAUCGAGCUGAUAAGCUCCUUUCCGCGCAAGAAAUCCGCUGGUGGUAUGCUGCCUAAGAGCGCUGUUCAGUUGUUGAUCGCAGCAAAUCCCAAAGAUCCUAAGAUCGGUAACUAAAAACAGAUACGGAAAAAUCCAAGCAUUUGUAUGUGGAGGGAGUCCAAACUAGGAUUGCUAAAGAUUACCACCACAAAGGAAAAAUGAGUACAAGUGGGCACUGCUCCCGGUGGUUUCACAUAAGAAACAAAUUUUCGUUUCUCGGCUUUCUUCCGAUCAAACUUUAACUUAUGUAUUGUCUUCUAUAUAAGAAAAAACAAAAGCCGAAAUUUUAACUUUUAAAAUGUUAACUUUUCUUACGCUGGAGACAUUUAAUCUUUCAUCCUAAUAAGCUAUUUUUAUCCUUUUGAUUUUUGAUUUGAUUUUUGGAGGGACAGUUUAGUGGCUAAGAAGUUCGAAGCUGAGAUCAACAAGAAAGAAUGGUAUAGUCAAGUUCACCGACUAAAGCCAAAAAAAUUCUUAUGAAAAUGCAAGAGGCUUGCGCAUCAAGCUAACAUAAUAGAAUUCUGAUAGCCUAUCCUUAGCAUCCCAUAUCAUUGUGUUUACAGACCCUUGGUUAAAGGCUGAUAUACUUACUCCGUGGAUGCGUCUUAAUUGUCUUAAUUGAGGUUAGAGGAGGUAAUUUUUGAUGAGCAACUUAGAUAUCAUAUGCGUAAAGCUGUCUUCCUAUUCUUUUGCUUACAUGACGUGCUCUUAUAUUCCGCGGUCUUCUGGAUUCCCAAAAUAGCUAAAUCUUUUGUCGGCUACCCAAUCCGUGUCAAAAAGACUGUCCGAUAGGGACCAAUUUGUAGUUCCAGGUUAUUUUAAUAAACCUGGCGCUACAUGGUCCACAGAAGAAAAAUCUAGUAUCCUUCUCCCUAUAGCACAACAUGACUUAAUCGUCAGCACGCUCGAUUUAUCGUUGUCGUAUGUUAAUUAUACGCGAAACUCUCUUGGUCGAUUAUUUAAACUAUGUUAUGUAAAAAGUCCUAAAAGUGUGUUUCUGCAAACAUUCUAAGGCUUAAUCAUAUUAUACUGCCUUUAAUUGGUCCGUUUUUAUACGCAAUUAAAUCAUUUUUUAACACUUGUGUUAAAUUAGAAAUUGCGAUAGUGAAUACUUUUAGCACAAUACCGAGAGGGAUAAAAGAAGACAACUGAAAAAAAAUGAAACUCGCAAAUUGAAACAGAAAAAUUUUACAGACUGCAGAAAAACUAAACGGUAGCAAGGUAUUUGGUGGAAUUUAAACCUUGCUUUCUCUACCAAAUAAUAGAUAAUUUUAAUAUAUAUAUGUGAGCUGAGGUAUUAUGCUCAACUCGAUUUAUUAUUAUAAAAUAUAAGUAUUAAUAUAUUGUUGGAAAUGUUACAAGAUUGUUUGGCUAUUUUUACUUUCUGCACUUUUUCUGCUUCGGCGUCACUUUUUGUCUCUCCUGAUUCCUCCUUCUUCUGAUAUCUCCCUUCUUCUUGCUUCCGCGUUGCCACCUCUUUUUUCCCCAAUGUCAUAACUCGUCAUGUACUCUUCAGCUGUAAUGUUAAUGUUGAACUGCUUAAUCCUCUGCUGAUAUUCUGCUAGUAUUGUCCUGCUUUACUGCUGACUUUCUACUGCUUUUCUGCUGACUCUCCGAUGCUUCACCAUCUUACAUUCGGCCAUUCCUGAUUACUCAUCUGUCCCAGAUGACCAAGCAUCUUCAUUGUUACGUGCACGUAACUUCAUGUGAUCACAGCUGGUGGUAGUGUUGGUGGGAGCUACGUCAGCUGCUUUUCGAACAUCGUAACGGCCAUGACUUUCGAAAUUUCAUACGCCCCCAAAUAUUCGGCAGCCAGUUUCUUUUCUCGACUGGGUUUGCUGAAAACCACGGCUUCGAAAGUUAACUUGUAUGUUAACAAAACACGUUUAAUUUUCCCAUCGUAACAUUGUAAAAUUUUUUGGCGUUUUAACGAUCUUUUAUGGUUUUGAACCAAGCACAAGAAAGUGGUCGUUUCAAAUACUACCGUGUGACUAUCUCCAUUUCUUCAUUUAAUCAGGAGCCAAUAUAACGGUUUUCUUGCAAACUGCAUGGUUUUUUUUUUGUGAGUUUCGCCUCUUUAUUGGCUUCUUUAAAUGAUGUUAUUAUCUUUGAGUCUGCUUCUAAUUACCUAUUACCUUACAUUAAUUUCUAGAUCUAGUCCCUCGGCAGUACAGUGUAUGCCACACACAAUGUAUUCCAUGCCAAGAAACGACAUAAAAAUGCUAGAAACUGUUUAGAAACACCCAAAAGUAUUGUAAAAUACCACAAACCCUGUUUAAAAGUGAUUAAAUUUAUUUAUUGUUUAUUUAUUAAUUAUAGUUUAUUUUGACUGGUUUAAAUUUUUCUAACGACUAACUAAGUAAUGGAAAAGAAAUCCAAGCAUAGCAUUGUUGUUUUCGAUCAUAAAGCGUUCUAAUUUGGUAUACACCA